rnacentral:ncRNA from 2 species
AUAUGUGUAGGAGUGGAUUUACUGAAGCAGUGGAAACAAGGAAACACUUGUUUUGGUAGAACCAUAAA